rnacentral:lncRNA from 1 species
CAGCUUUACAGGGCAUCGGCCUUGUUUGAAACGAUUCGGCACGAGGCACAGCUGAGCACAGACUACAAGCUCUCUCUCUUCGACCUGCAGACAUCAUCCUACCAGGCCUUGCAGCGGGUGCUCGUCAGCCUAGGCCACCACGAUGAAGCCCUGGCCGUGGCAGAAAGGGGCCGGACGAGAGCAUUUGCUGACCUGCUGGUGGAAAGGCAGACGGGACAACAGGACUCCGACCCCUACUCACCCAUCACCAUCGACCAGAUCUUAGAGAUGGUUAACGCACAGCGGGGACUAGUGCUGUACUACUCCCUGGCUGCAGGCUACCUCUACAGCUGGCUGCUUGCUCCUGG